GGACGUCGACAUGAAGAGAAAGGUGGACGCAAACUCGGUCAUUCAAAGUCUCUCCCACCCCGCCGCCUCCACUACCCAGCAGGGGGAAAAAAAGAGAAGAAGAAAGAAAGAAAGAAACGGGAAGAAAGUAGUUGCGCCGGGCUCUCUCGCGGGGCCGCGCGCGGAGCUGCUCGGUAGGGAGAGGAGCCUUCAACUCUGAGUCCCGUGAACAUAAUCUGCGCGGUUAUAACCAGCCAACCCGGCCAGAUGGCUCCGCGCUCAGCGCCUUAACCCCUUCAGCGCCGCGCCACCCGCCCCCGCGCCCGGCCGUCGCGCGCCUUGCCAGCCCAAGCCCCUGUGCCCCUCCGACUUGGGGCUGGCGUGGGGUGGGCAGUGGGGCGACGAGGUCAUCUUUCCUAGCCUCUCUAAAAGAAAAACACCAAAAACUUCCAAGUUAAUAGUAGGCUUCACUAUCCCCCUUAGAGAUUCAGGAAAAAACGAAAUAUUCAACUUUUCACUGUAUUUUACAUGUUAAUGUCUUCAGCCUGUCUUAUUUGUUUUUUUUUCUUGAGAAACUUCCUUUUGAUCUUUUUUUUUUUUCUUUCUUUUUAUUUAAGAUUUUCCUCUCUAGGCAGAAGGGCCUUUCUUGCCCCUUCCCCCUGGCGGCUUGGGUCUAAUGUGCAAACUCCUCCUCCAAACCUUAGACCCUUCCAGCUCUAGAUCUCUCCCCACCUCCUAUCAAGCCCACCCGUCACUCCUUCCCCCACCCCACAACGCGAACACGCCCAAGGACAAUCACUCCCCAGCGAACUCGCUGCUCUCAGGGACCAGUACCCAGGACGCUGUGCGGGAGGUCAAGGACAGCGGAGUCAAGAGCCGGCGUCAGGUUAAAAAAAUCCAAAUUCCUACGACUUGUUUGAGAAUUUGGUCAAACACCGAGAAGCACGGGCACUGCGCCUACCAGAUCAGGCCGAACCCGACGCAGAGCAAGGCUGCGGGGUCCGAGCGGAGAUGCUGUGCACGGACUGGCCGACACACUUUGCCAGGACCUAGGCAAGCACAGGAAGAUAGCCUCAGAGUGAUGUCUGUGGGUGGAGCCUCCCAACUGGUUACAAGCCACAUCCAGAAUUCAAGGCUGGGGGAACCUGGAAAAGGUCACUUCAUCCAUCCUCCUGACCUUGAGACCAGUCCUCACUCUCCACUGGCAAGUUAG
ensembl:lncRNA